rnacentral:rRNA from 1 species
UGGGGAAUUUUGGACAAUGGGCGAAAGCCUGAUCCAGCAAUGCCGCGUGUGUGAAGAAGGCCUUCGGGUUGUAAAGCACUUUUGUCCGGAAAGAAAUCCUUGGCUCUAAUACAGUCGGGGGAUGACGGUACCGGAAGAAUAAGCACCGGCUAACUACGUGCCAGCAGCCGCGGUAAUACGUAGGGUGCAAGCGUUAAUCGGAACUACUGGGCGUAAAGCGUGCGCAGGCGGUUUGCUAAGACCGAUGUGAAAUCCCCGGGCUCAACCUGGGAACUGCAUUGGUGACUGGCAGGCUAGAGUAUGGCAGAGGGGGGUAGAAUUCCACGUGUAGCAGUGAAAUGCGUAGAGAUGUGGAGGAAUACCGAUGGCGAAGGCAGCCCCCUGGGCCAAUACUGACGCUCAUGCACGAAAGCGUGGGGAGCAAACAGGAUUAGAUACCCUGGUAGUCCACGCCCUAAACGAUGUCAACUAGUUGUUGGGGAUUCAUUUCCUUAGUAACGUAGCUAACGCGUGAAGUUGACCGCCUGGGGAGUACGGUCGCAAGAUUAAAACUUAAAGGAAUUGACGGGGUCAUAGCUGUUUCCU